AAAUCAAGUGUCCCACUGAUAGUCUUGGAAUGCCGGCCACCCCAAGAGGUCAUGGUGGGAGACUAAAGGUCGAACCCACGACCGACUGUGUAGACAGAAACCUCAAAAACACCAAAGGAAAGCACCCCAAAGUGGUGCUUGUUCCCAUAGGAUUCCCCAACCUGGCACAGACGUGCUACAUGAACUCCACACUGCAGGGCCUCCUGACGAUUAGAGGUUUCAUUCAGGGCAUCUACAACCAGGAGAGUGUGUGGAGUUCUCUCCCCAUGUACAACACCUCACACACACACACACACAGACGCUCUUACUCUUUGGUUUCUCCUCCCACUUUGCAGGUCAGCAUACUAACGAAAACUAAAACAUAUAUUUUUUUUUCCUCUUUGUUUAUGCUCUUUCCAGAGGGUUUGUAAAAGUUGGCCUCUCCAGAUUCACUGCCAGCAAGGCAGUGAAAAAGCAGGCACUGGCUGCCUUCAAAAGGACUGUCGCUGAGUUCAACUCCGAAUUUGAGGACGACAGACAGAAAGACGCCCAUGUUCCUCAGCUGUGUGCUAAAUCAGCUGAGGUGUGUCUCUGCCAACAUGCAGGAAGAAGCAUCUAACAGGGUAUUCAGUUACACUUGCCCUGUUAAUGCUAACAUCACCUUCCAGAUGUUGAGCACCAGGACCUGCAAUGGAUGUGGCAUGCAAUCUACAAGGGAGGAGGACUUCAUUAAUUUGUCACUGGACCUGGUGCCUGGUGGCACAGUGCGGCAGUGUCUGCAGGGCUACUUCAAAGAGAACCAGCUGGACUAUCGGUGCGAGUGUGGUGUUACGACGUCGUCGCAGCAGGGGUCAUUUUUGACGCUGCCAAACGCGCUGAUAAUCUAGCUGAAGAGGUUUAAUUACACCAAAUGCCUAAAACUGGAGAAGGUCAACAGCCCCAUCACUGUAUCAAGUCAGCUGGUGCUGAACGUUGAGUCCAGCACCAGUGAGUCCAGCGCCAGUGAACAGACACCGUCUUGCUACUCCCUAAUGAGCAUUGUCAGCCAUUUGGGUUCCUCAGCUUACGGUGGCCAUUACAUCUGUGAUGGAGCCCACAGGGACGAGAAACCGCAGGACAUGUCUGACAACUGCUGUUCUACGUGAAACAU